AAAUGAGUCACAGCUGCAAGCUAAGGGAUUGAAACCUCAACCAAUCAUAUAGGGAGUUUAAGCUCUAGCUGCAGCCUGAUGUUUUUAACCAAUCAGGCCCGUCAACCCACAAGCGGAUUGAAAAUAAGCUAGUUAUGUAGGACAGAAAAAGGAAAAGACGAGGGGUCAUAAGGGGACAUAAGCAUAAGACAGAAGCAAAAAAACGGCAGCCCUUCCAGGUCCCCUUCCACCACGUGGAAGCUUUACUUUUGCUUUCAUUUUACUUUCGCUUUUGCUCUAAUAAAUCUUGCCACCGCACCCUCUUUGGGUCCGCGGGUUUCUCUAAUCUAGCUGUAACACUCGCCACUGCGGCCCACGGCUUCAUUCCUGGAAGCCCGUGAGACCAGGAACCCUUCGAUCGAGAAAAGACCUUCCAUUGGGAGAAGACUUCUCGUCUUAUUUCCACCUAUAAUCUCUUCAAAACAUAGCAGUCAGAGUUACCUGCUGAACUCAUAAGUCACUCAUCUGCUCAAAGCCUCCCAGUGGCUUCUCAUCUCACAGAAUUCUGUUCAGGAACCAUGACACAAAAGAUGAAAAACUACUGAGAUGCAGACAUUCAAGCAAAUGUCACAUUCCUGAUCACAGACUAAGGGAGAUGGGAAGAGGGCUACUGUGUAUCAUCUCAAUAGAGAUGAGCAAGCUUUCUUAUAACUAGACGUGGAAAAUGGAAAGAAAGAAGAAAAUCUGGAGGAAGGCAAAGGGUGAAUAUUGAAUCAAUUGAAUGGAUUCAAUUCAAGGGGGAAUCAAUUUUGUGAAAUGAAUUUUAUCUUAGUGACACUUUAGAGAACAACUCAGUUUCUACAAGCCAAAAGAUCAUAACAAAGCAUUAGAAUGGACUUUAUUCAGGUUAUUUAAGGCAAGUUAGUUUGCUUUUAUUCAAAGGAUGCUGAAAUACUUAUCAAGCAAGCAGACAAAGUGUGACAUCUAGAAUAAGGAGAAGAUUGCUGUGAGUUCCUUUGCAUGAGCUAUUUGGUGUUUCAGAAGAAAUUACAUUAAAGAAAGCAUCUGAUCAAACAUACAAUUCUGUCAGUACAACAGAAGAAUCUAAAAAUAAUUUUGCUCUUACUUCUUAAACAGCCAGUUUUGAUGAUUUUAUAACCUUUGUCACACAGUCAGAAACUAACUUUAUUGGAAUAUAUUUAAGUUGUCAAACAUUUACUGAAUACCUAUUAUUAGCAAGGUGCUGUACUAAGCUUUGCAGGGGAUACAACUAUGAAUAAGAAAUAAUCCUUCCUUUAAAGAAGUCACAGAAUGGUGAGACUGACUCAUAUUUAUAAACAACUAUAAGUCAAGACAGAAACUAUUAAAUACUAUAAUAGUAAAAAAAAAAAAAUCCAGAAUGCUAUGGAAAUAGAGAUGAAGACACCAUGUGGACUUGUAAAGCCUGAGAAAGGUCUCAUGAAGGAGGCAGAAUCUUAGCUGGGUUACAAAGAAGGUAUAGAUGUUACCAGGUACAGAGACAGGACAAGGUCAUUAGAGACCCAGCAUAUGCCAAGAGGGUGAGAGAAGGGAAUUAUAAAAUAUGUCCUGGGAAUGGCAGGGACUAGUUUGGUUACAACAAAUAUCUUGAGAUGGAGUAGAAGGCAAUACAUCCAGAAAAUUAUAUUAGUGUAAGAAUCUCAUGAGUUUGCAAUAGAUAGUAAGAAAUUUAGACUAUUCCAAAGGCAUAGUCUAUGGGGGAAGGGAUUCUAUUAUUAAAAGUAAUAGCACAAAAGGAUAGAAAUUGGAGGCACAGAGGCCACUUAUGAAGUUACUACGAUAGUCCAAGUAGUAGAAAUCUGGCACUGCGUGAAGAUAAACAGCAUGAGACUGAACUAGGAAGAAUAUCUAUAAAGGCCAGGUAUCAGCAUUAUUGGCAAGGUAAUGGUCUCCAAAGAAAGCUAGUUAGCAUCAUCCUCAAAGAUCUUCUUGGCACAAAUCCCAAUAUACAAAGUAGAAAAAAAAUACAAGAUCGAUGAUCCUGUAGAUGAGGAGCUCAGCAAUAUGGACUGUAAACCAGAGCAGCCCAGUGGUGUUGCACUUAAUCAUGGGGGUCAGUUUGAUGUACAGAGUGUUACACAAAAGCUUAUCUGAAAUUGGAAAGGAUAAGAUUAAUCAGGUAGAUUAUCCACUGAUUAUAUUUGAUUAGUCUAACCUUCAUGGAGAAUAAUUGUUUUUUCAAAAAAGGUAUUUAAUUGAAGAGCAUUUACAGUAAAAUCAAUUGCAGUUUGAAACUUCCUUGAACAAUUACUUGUGAAUUCAAGAGAUUGCUAUAAUGAAGGUUGAUAUAGUUUGGAUAUUUGCCCCUGCCCCAAUCUCAUUGAAUUGUAAUCCCCAUUUUUGGAGUUGGGGCCUGGUGGGAGGUGUUUGGAUCAUGGGGGCAGACCUCUCAUGGCUUUGGUCUAUCUUUGUGAUACUGACUUCUUAGGAGAUCUGGUCAUUUAAAAGUGUGUAGCACCUCCUCCCCACCUCUCGCUCCCCCUUCACCUUUUGACAUGAUUGUAAGCUUCCUGAGUCCUCCCUAGAAGCUGAGCAGAUGCCAGUACCAUGCUUUUUGUAACGCCUGCAGAACUGUGAGCCAAUUAAACCUCUUUUCUUUAUAAAUUCC
rnacentral:lncRNA from 10 species